UACGGGGGGGGCAAGCGUUGUUCGGAAUUACUGGGCGUAAAGGGCUCGUAGGUGGCCAACUAAGUCAGACGUGAAAUCCCUCGGCUUAACCGGGGAACUGCGUCUGAUACUGGAUGGCUUGAGUUCGGGAGAGGGAAGCGGAAUUCCGGGUGUAGCGGUGAAAUGCGUAGAUAUCCGGAGGAACACCGGUGGCGAAGGCGGCUUCCUGGACCGACACUGACGCUGAGGCGCGAAAGCUAGGGGAGCAAACAGG
rnacentral:rRNA from 1 species